GGCUGAGCUGCUGGGUCCCUACAGCAUGAAGUUCCUAAGUGACAACCUCAUGUGGCAGGUCACCUCACAGGUGGUGGAGCUGAAGAAACUGGUGACCGAGAACAUGGACGUGCUGGUGCAGAUCCGCUCCAACUUCUACAGACCUGAGCAGAUGGCAUCAUUGCUGCCCAGGCUGACGUCUGCCAACAAUGUGCUGAAAAGAAUGACCAUAAUUGGGGAGAUCCUGAACUUC